rnacentral:rRNA from 1 species
GACGAACGCUGGCGGCGUGCCUAAUACAUGCAAGUUGAGCGCUGAAGGUUGGUACUUGUAUCGACUGGAUGAGCAGCGAACGGGUGAGUAACGCGUGGGGAAUCUGCCUUUGAGCGGGGGACAACAUUUGGAAACGAAUGCUAAUACCGCAUAAAAACUUUAAACACAAGUUUUAAGUUUGAAAGAUGCAAUUGCAUCACUCAAAGAUGAUCCCGCGUUGUAUUAGCUAGUUGGUGAGGUAAAGGCUCACCAAGGCGAUGAUACAUAGCCGACCUGAGAGGGUGAUCGGCCACAUUGGGACUGAGACACGGCCCAAACUCCUACGGGAGGCAGCAGUAGGGAAUCUUCGGCAAUGGACGAAAGUCUGACCGAGCAACGCCGCGUGAGUGAAGAAGGUUUUCGGAUCGUAAAACUCUGUUGGUAGAGAAGAACGUUGGUGAGAGUGGAAAGCUCAUCAAGUGACGGUAACUACCCAGAAAGGGACGGCUAACUACGUG